CCUGGGCAUGACGUGCUGUGGUAUGGAAUACCUCUUUGGUCAGUUUGGGUCAGGUGUCCUGUCUCUGCUUCCUCCCAGCUUCCCCUCCUCCCUGGCAGAGCAUGAGGCUCAGAAAGUCCUUGGUCAGACUAAAACAUUUGAGCGCAGCAACUAAAAACAUCGGUGUUAUCAGCGCUGCUCCCAGGCCGAAAGUCAAAACCACAGCACUGCACCAGCUACUAAGAAG